rnacentral:rRNA from 1 species
GGGGGAUAGCCCGAAGAAAUUCGGAUUAAGACCGCAUAAAAACACAGGGUAGCAUUAUCCAAUGUUCAAAUAUUUAUAGGAUUAAGAUGGGCAUGCGUGUCAUUAGCUAGUUGGCGGGGUAACGGCCCACCAAGGCGACGAUGACUAGGGGAUCUGAGAGGAUGACCCCCCACACUGGUACUGAGACACGGACCAGACUCCUACGGGAGGCAGCAGUAAGGAAUAUUGGUCAAUGGAGGGAACUCUGAACCAGCCAUGCCGCGUGCAGGAAGACAGCCCUCUGGGUCGUAAACUGCUUUUAUUCGGGAAUAAACCUAUCUACGUGUAGGUAGCUGAAUGUACCGAAGGAAUAAGGAUCGGCUAACUCCGUGCCAGCAGCCGCGGUAAUACGGAGGAUCCAAGCGUUAUCCGGAUUUAUUGGGUUUAAAGGGUGCGUAGGCGGCUUAUUAAGUCAGGGGUGAAAGACGGUGGCUCAACCAUCGCAGUGCCCUUGAUACUGAUGAGCUUGAAUACACUAGAGGUAGGCGGAAUGUGACAAGUAGCGGUGAAAUGCAUAGAUAUGUCACAGAA